rnacentral:misc_RNA from 1 species
ACGACCCGCGAACCGUUGCAAAAACAACGGCGGGGGCCGGGGCGAGCCGCGGGCCGGUCCCGCUCUCCCUCCAGCACCUGCCACACGAACAAAUCCCCGGCGCCAGACGCGCCAAGGAAUUAAAAACGAAAAUACGGGGAAUGGGCGGCCCGUCGCGUGCCGGGAACGGAUCUCUCGCGGGCUGCCCUCUCUCCUUCGGAAACAAAAACGACUCUCGGCAACGGAUAUCUCGGCUCUCGCAUCGAUGAAGAACGUAGCGAAAUGCGAUACUUGGUGUGAAUUGCAGAAUCCCGUGAACCAUCGAGUCUUUGAACGCAAGUUGCGCCCGAAGCCUUCGGGCCGAGGGCACGUCUGCCUGGGUGUCAUGCAUCGUCGCCCCCCCAUCCUUCCGGCUCCCCCCCGAGGGGGGAAGGGGGUACGGGGCGGGCGGAGACUGGUCUCCCGUGCGCUCCCGCUCGCGGUUGUCCGAAAUACGAGUUGUUGGCGGCCGAGAACGCCACGGCAAGCGGUGGUUGUCAAAGACCUUCGGAGA